CUACAGUGAUAUUAGAAGAUAUGGAAAGAAUAAACAAAACAGUACAAAUAAGCAAAAGUCAGAAUAUUCUCCACAACAGAUAUUAUUGACAUAGGCAGGCAGAAACAAAUUUUACGUAUAUAAACAUCACUAAACACAAAAAGACAGCCAAAGAGAGAAAAGACAAACAAUGGCAGGUAAUUUUCAAGUAGAAGGUGAUAAUUGAUAACCUCCACGGCAGAGCCAGACUCCUCUAAGCUCGAAAGAAAACCGUGUGAGAGAAAGGGAUUAAACUGCUGACGACCAGUGGCAUCAAGACUGCACGAAUCCCACUCUUCUGGUGAAACCUCUGUGAUUGAGGAAACCACAGAAA